AUGCACAAACAAGUCAAAAAAUCACUGAUCCAAACCCAACGUGCAAACAGAAAAGGGACGGGGCGGGCACACCUCCUGCCCCCGGCCCCGGCCCACGGGCGGGGGGCUCGGCCCCCCCCCCCCGGACCCCCACCGGCUCGGCUCCAGGAGCCCGGCAGCGGGGGUCCCCCGGCACAGGGCUGGCGCUGCGGGCGCCCCCCGGCACGGCCCCCGCCGGGCAGCACGGGGCCGGGCAGGGCCCCCCCAAAUCCGCCGGGGCGGUGGGCACGGGGUGGGGGGGGAGCCCCAGCGGAGGGGCCACGGCCCGGCCGGUGCCGAGCGGGGGAAGGGGGGCGCGGGGCCCGGCGCCCGCGUCCUCAGUUGGGGGCCAGGUCCCCGGCUUUACCAAAUGCCGCUCGACCGGCCUCCGGGGGGAGCGAGAAUCCGGGCCGAAGCUCGCUUUGGAACGUGGUCAUCGAUCUGCGAACCUGCGGGACGGACACACGGACGGGCGUCAGGGCCGCCGGACACACGGCAGGGACCGACGGCGACCCCAGCCCCCCCAAGUGCCACCCCCGGCCCCCCAGCGCCCUGCGCCCACCCGCUGUGCCGGGGGUCCCAGGCUGCGCCCCAGCCGGCGUCGAGCCCCCCCUGCCUCCUGCAGCGCCAGGGCUGGGGGGCAGCGACCGCAGCCCCACCGUGCCUGGGGGAUGCUCACGGCCCCCCCAGGAGCACGGCCAGCACCGAGCACGGGUGGCACGGGGAGCAGGAGGCGACCCCGGGGAGCGGGGAGACGCUGCCCCCCUCCUGCCUGCUCCCCACAGCCAUGGGGACGAUGCCAGCACCGCGCUUGUCACCGCCACGGAGCCACGGACGGAUGGCACAUGGAGAGGUGGUGGGGACGGGGAAGGGGUCGGGGUUGGGGUCAGCUCCCUACUCUGCCUGGGAGCUGUGCGCUGGGGAAAUGGGGUGCUUGGGGGGGUCCUGUGCACCAGAGAAGGGGACGCACCGGGAUGGUGGCGGGGACACCGGGAUGGUGGUGGUGGGGACACUGGGACGGUGGUGGGGGAGGCACUGGGAUGUCUGGGGGUGCCCGGUGGUGCCGGGGAGCCCCUGUGGGAGGUGGGCAGGGGGGCAGGGGGCCUGGAUGCAGCCCCC
rnacentral:lncRNA from 1 species